UACGAAGGGGGCUAGCGUUGCUCGGAAUCACUGGGCGUAAAGGGUGCGUAGGCGGGUCUUUAAGUCAGGGGUGAAAUCCUGGAGCUCAACUCCAGAACUGCCUUUGAUACUGAGGAUCUUGAGUUCGGGAGAGGUGAGUGGAACUGCGAGUGUAGAGGUGAAACUCGUAGAUAUUCGCAAGAACACCAGUGGCGAAGGCGGCUCACUGGCCCGAUACUGACGCUGAGGCACGAAAGCGUGGGGAGCAAACAGG
rnacentral:rRNA from 1 species